rnacentral:rRNA from 1 species
AGAGUUUGAUCCUGGCUCAGGAUGAACGCUGGCGGCGUGCUUAACACAUGCAAGUCGAACGAAGCACCUUGAUUUGAUUCUUCGGAUGAAGAUCUUGGUGACUGAGUGGCGGACGGGUGAGUAACGCGUGGGUAACCUGCCUCAUACAGGGGGAUAACAGUUAGAAAUGACUGCUAAUACCGCAUAAGACCACAGCACCGCAUGGUGCAGGGGUAAAAACUCCGGUGGUAUGAGAUGGACCCGCGUCUGAUUAGCUGGUUGGUGAGGUAACGGCCCACCAAGGCGACGAUGCAUAGCCGGCCUGAGAGGGCGGACGGCCACAUUGGGACUGAGACACGGCCCAAACUCCUACGGGAGGCAGCAGUAGGGAAUUUUCGUCAAUGGGGGGAACCCUGAACGAGCAAUGCCGCGUGAGUGAGGAAGGUCUUCGGAUCGUAAAGCUCUGUUGUAAGAGAAAAACGGCACUCAUAGGGAAUGAUGAGUGAGUGAUGGUAUCUUACCAGAAAGUCACGGCUAACUACGUGCCAGCAGCCGCGGUAAUACGUAGGUGGCGAGCGUUAUCCGGAAUGAUUGGGCGUAAAGGGUGCGUAGGUGGCAGAUCAAGUCUGGAGUAAAAGGUAUGGGCUUAACCCGUACUGGCUCUGGAAACUGAUCAGCUAGAGAACAGAAGAGGACGGCGGAACUCCAUGUGUAGCGGUAAAAUGCGUAGAUAUAUGGAAGAACACCGGUGGCGAAGGCGGCCGUCUGGUCUGGAUUCUGACACUGAAGCACGAAAGCGUGGGGAGCAAAUAGGAUUAGAUACCCUAGUAGUCCACGCCGUAAACGAUGAGAACUAGGUGUUGGGGGAAUAACUCAGUGCCGCAGUUAACGCAGUAAGUUCUCCGCCUGGGGGGUAUGCACGCAAGUGUGAAACUCAAAGGAAUUGACGGGGGCCCGCACAAGCGGUGGAGUAUGUGGUUUAAUUCGAAGCAACGCGAAGAACCUUACCAGGCCUUGACAUCCCUUGCAGAGGUAUAGAGAUAUAUCCGAGGUUAUCAAGGAGACAGGUGGUGCAUGGUUGUCGUCAGCUCGUGUCGUGAGAUGUUGGGUUAAGUCCCGCAACGAGCGCAACCCUUGUGAUAUGUUACUAACAUUGAGUUGAGGACUCAUAUCAGACUGCCGGUGAUAAACCGGAGGAAGGUGGGGAUGACGUCAAAUCAUCAUGCCCCUUAUGGCCUGGGCUACACACGUACUACAAUGGCGUCUACAAAGAGCGGCAAGCCUGUGAAGGCAAGCGAAUCUCAUAAAGGACGUCUCAGUUCGGAUUGAAGUCUGCAACCCGACUUCAUGAAGCUGGAAUCGCUAGUAAUCGCGAAUCAGCAUGUCGCGGUGAAUACGUUCUCGGGCCUUGCACACACCGCCCGUCAA